AAUGAACGCUGGCGGCAUGCCUAAUACAUGCAAGUCGAACGAGACCUUCGGGGCUAUUGGCGUACGGGUGCGUAACGCGGGGGAACUUGCCCAUAGAUUGGGAAUAACUCCCCGAAAGGGGUUAUAAUAUGGGAUAGUACCUUCGGACCGAAGAUUUAUCGCCCUUGGAGGGGCCCGCGUUUGAUUAGCUGGUUGGUAGGGUAAAAGCCUACCAAGGUGACUAUUCAUAGCUGGGCUGAGGGGAUGAGCAGCCACCCUGGGAGUGAGAACCGGCCCGGAAUCCUACGGGAGGCAGCAGUGGGUAAUAUAGGAAAGUGGCGGAAGGCCUGAACCAGCAAUGCCGCGUGAGUGAUGAAGGCCUGAGGGUUGUAAAGCUCUUUUACCCGGGAGGAUAAUGACAGUACCGGGAGAAUAAGCACCGGCUAACUCCGUG
rnacentral:rRNA from 1 species